CCUACGGGCGGCAGCAGUGAGGAAUAUUGGUCAAUGGGCGCGAGCCUGAACCAGCCAAGUAGCGUGAAGGAUGACUGCCCUACGGGUUGAAAACUUCUUUUAUAAGGGAAUAAAAUGAGGCACGUGUGCCUUUUUGUGUGUACUUUAUGAAUAAGGCAGGGCUAACUCCGUGCCGGAGGCCGCGGUAAUACGGAGGAUCCGAGCGUUGUCCUGAGUUAUUGGGUUUAAAGGGAGCGUAGAUGGGUUUUUAAGUCAGUUGUGAAAGUUUUCGGCUCAACCGUAAAAUUGCAAUUGAUACUGGCAGCCUUGAGUACAGUUGAGGUAGGCGGAAUUCGUGGUGUAGCGGUGAAAUGCUUAGAUAUCACGAAGAACUCCGAUUGCGAAGGCAGCCUACUAAACUGCCACUGACAUUGAUGCUCGAAAGUGUGGGUAUCAAACAGGAUUAGAUACCCUAGUAGUC
rnacentral:rRNA from 1 species